rnacentral:rRNA from 1 species
AAUGAACGCUGGCGGCGUGCUAACACAUGCAAGUCGUACGAGAAAGGGGCUUCGGCCCUGAGUAGAGUGGCGCACGGGUGAGUAACGCGUGGGUAAUCUACCCUUGGAUUUGGGAUAACUCUGCGAAAGUGGAGCUAAUACCGGAUAGUCUGGCUUUAAAUAAGAAGUCGGUAAAGGAUGCCUCUGCAUAUGCAUUCGUCCGAGGAUGAGCCCGCGUCUCAUUAGCUAGUUGGUAGGGUAAUGGCCUACCAAGGCAACGAUGAGUAGCUGGUCUGAGAGGAUGAUCAGCCACACUGGAACUGAAACACGGUCCAGACUCCUACGGGAGGCAGCAGUGGGGAAUAUUGCGCAAUGGGCGAAAGCCUGACGCAGCAACGCCGUGUGAGGGAUGAAGGCUUUCGGGUCGUAAACCUCUGUCGGAAGGGAAGAACGGGCAUUGGUCUAAUAGGCCUUUGUUUUGACGGUACCUUUAGAGGAAGCACCGGCUAACUCCGUGCCAGCAGCCGCGGUAAUACGGAGGGUGCAAGCGUUAUUCGGAAUUACUGGGCGUAAAGCGCACGUAGGCGGCCUUGUAAGUCAGGGGUGAAAUCCCACGGCUCAACCGUGGAACUGCCUUUGAAACUGCAGGGCUUGAAUCCUGGAGAGGGUGGCGGAAUUCCUGGUGUAGGAGUGAAAUCCGUAGAUAUCAGGAGGAACACCGGUGGCGAAGGCGGCCACCUGGACAGGUAUUGACGCUGAGGUGCGAAAGUGUGGGGAGCAAACA